ACUAGGAGCGGCUCUCGGUGCAGCGGGACAGGGCGAAGCGGCCUGCGCCCACGGAGCGCGUGACACUGCCCGGAAGGCACCGCCACCCUUGCCCCCUCAGCUGCCCACUCGUGAUCUUCAGCGGCCUCCGCGCGCGCACGAUGCCCUCGGCCACCAGCCACAGCGGGAGCGGCAGCAAGUCGUCCGGACCGCCACCGCCGUCGGGUUCCUCCGGGAGUGAGGCGGCCGCGGGAGCCGGGGCCGCCGCGCCGGCUUCUCAGCAUCCCGCAACCGGCACCGGCGCUGUCCAGACCGAGGCCAUGAAGCAGAUUCUCGGGGUGAUCGACAAGAAACUUCGGAACCUGGAGAAGAAAAAGGUGCCAGGAGUUGGCGGGGAAGGGAGGGGUGGCUGCGGCCGGGCUCUGCGCCCCCUCCGACCCUGGUCGCUGGAGCCUUCGCUUCUUUUCGUCUCGGGAGCGUUACUAGGUCCCCGCCUCCCACCCCUGGCCCACACGCCCGGUCUCCACGUUCAGCGGGAGCUUCGUGCCCAGAAAACGGGCUCUUGGAGGAGGCACUUGUCACCUGACUCGGACGCGGCACUGUCCCC
rnacentral:sRNA from 1 species